AUAUGUUUAUUUUUUAUAUACUUGUAUUUAUUUUGGAUUUUAAAACUAACAAAUCUUAAUAAAACAAUUUCUCCUUAAAUUAUUUGGAGAAAUCUACUUGUUCGUUAAAAUGGCAACCGACGAAAAUUUUGAAACGUUUGAAGAAGACGAUGCUGCUGAUACAUCGGUAGCAUUAAGUACAGCAGGCAGAAAGAGGCUUUUUAGUAAAGAAUUGAGGUGCAUGAUGUAUGGCUUUGGAGAUGAUCAAAACCCUUA